CUUUAAGUCAACAGCUAAUGCUUCUUGUAAAAAUAAUUCAUCGUUAUUGGUAAAGGCAUGGGUGCAAUAAUACUGGCUCAUAUAGCCCUAAAAAAACCUUCACUGGUUACAUAAAUUGAAAAAAAAAACAAACAACAUUGAAUACAUUUAAAACAUAUAUUAAGUAUUUUCAAAUUUCAUUAUGCCGUAAAUUGUGAUAAUAAUUCAAUUAAUUAAGGUAAUACAAUUAAAUUAUAAUAAGUAUGUCCGCUGUAUAAAUAUGUACGUUUUAGUGCGCGGUCGUAUUUUUAAGGCGAUUAUGAAAGCCGGUUUCUGAGCACCUCAACCGGCGAAGAGGUGAUUAGGAACGGGCCUUUAAUCGCACAAACUCCAUAUAAAAUAAUUAUAAAC
rnacentral:lncRNA from 1 species